UGACCUCGGAUCAGGUAGGAAUACCCGCUGAACUUAAGCAUAUCAAUAAGCGGAGGAAAAGAAACCAACAGGGAUUGCCCUAGUAACGGCGAGUGAAGCGGCAACAGCUCGAAUUUGAAAUCUGGCCUCGGCCCGAGUUGUAAUCUGUAGAGGACGCUUUUGGCGCGGUGCCUUCCGAGUUCCCUGGAACGGGACGCCAUAGAGGGUGAGAGCCCCGUAAGGUCGGACACCAAGCCUGUGUAAAGCUCCUUCGACGAGUCGAGUAGCUUGGGAAUGCUGCUCUAAGCGGGAGGUAAACUUCUUCUAAAGCUAAAUACCGGCCAGAGACCGAUAGCGCACAAGUAGAGUGAUCGAAAGAUGAAAAGCACUUUGAAAAGAGGGUCAAAUAGUACGUGAAAUUGUUGAAAGGGAAGCGCUCAUGACCAGACUUGCGCCGGGCGGAUCAUCCAGCGGUUUCCGCUGGUGCACUCCGUCCGGCUCAGGCCAGCGUCGGCUGUCGCGGGGGGACAAAAGCUCUGGGAAAGUAGCUCCCUCCGGGGAGUGUUAUAGCCCACUGCAGAAUAUCCCCGCGGCGGCCGAGGUCCGCGCCCUGCAAGGACGCUGGCGUAAUGGUCAUCAGCGACCCGUCUUGAAACACGGACCAAGGAGUCGAGGUUUUGCGCGAGUGUUCGGGUGCAAAGCCCCAGCGCGUAAUUAAAGUGAACGUAGGUGAGAGCUUCGGCGCAUCAUCGACCGAUCCUGAUGUAUUCGGAUGGAUUUGAGUAGGAGCGUAAAGCCUCGGACCCGAAAGAUGGUGAACUAUGCCUGUAUAGGGUGAAGCCAGAGGAAACUCUGGUGGAGGCUCGCAGCGGUUCUGACGUGCAAAUCGAUCGUCAAAUAUGGGCAUGGGGGCGAAAGACUAAUCGAACCAUCUAGUAGCUGGUUACCGCCGAAGUUUCCCUCAGGAUAGCAGUGUUGUUCUUCAGUUUUAUGAGGUAAAGCGAAUGAUUAGGG
rnacentral:rRNA from 1 species